rnacentral:rRNA from 1 species
CUGACCAGCCAUGCCGCGUGAAGGAUGAAGGCCCUCUGGGUUGUAAACUUCNUUUAUCUGGGACGAAAAAAGGGUAUUCUUACUCACUUGACGGUACCAGAGGAAUAAGCACCGGCUAACUCCGUGCCAGCAGCCGCGGUAAUACGGAGGGUGCAAGCGUUAUCCGGAUUCACUGGGUUUAAAGGGAGCGUAGGUGGGCUGAUAAGUCAGUGGUGAAAUCUCCGGGCUUAACCCGGAAACUGCCAUUGAUACUAUCAGUCUUGAAUUAUCUGGAGGUAAGCGGAAUAUGUCAUGUAGCGGUGAAAUGCUUAGAUAUGACAUAGAACACCAAUUGCGAAGGCAGCUUGCUACGGAUUGAUUGACACUGAGGCUCGAAAGCGUGGGGAUCAAACAGGAUUAGAUACCCUGGUAGUCCACGCCCUAAACGAUGGAUACUCGACAUCAGCGAUACACUGUUGGUGUCUGAGCGAAAGCAUUAAG